CACCGACAAUCCCGUGACCGGCAAACUCUCUGCAUCAAUCUCUGACUUUGAUUUUUCAUUGGUCUCAAUCUCUCUACAAACCCUAAAAUAAAAUUGGCAAUUGAGAGCGUGGGGUUAGGAGUGACUGAAUUCGAAUAACGGGACCAUGUGCUAACAUCUAGCUAAGAUCCUACUUUGUGAAAUUGCAGAAGAAUCAAGAUGAAGAAU